rnacentral:rRNA from 1 species
AACCCUCACCAGAGUACCAAUUGGAGGGCAAGUCUGGUGCCAGCAGCCGCGGUAAUUCCAGCUCCAAUAGCGUAUAUUAAACUUGUUGCAGUUAAAAAGCUCGUAGUUGAAUUUCAGCGUUUCGCGUGUGCCUCUUUUGGCCCAUCUCGUCUCGCUUUUUUUAUUACUUUGAGAAAAUUAGAGUGUUUCAAGCAGGCUUUUGUCUUGAAUACUUGAGCAUGGAAUAAUAGAGUAGGACCUUGGUUCUAUUUUGUUGGUUUUGUUACCUUGGUAAUGGUUAAUAGGAACGGUUGGGGGCAUUCGUAUUUAACUGUCAGAGGUGAAAUUCUUAGAUUUGUUAAAGACGAACUACUGCGAAAGCAUUUGCCAAGGACGUUUCCAUUAAUCAAGAACGAAAGUUAGGGGAUCGAAGACGAUCAGAUACCGUCGUAGUCCUAACCAUAAACUA